AUCACUUCUUGGCCUUUUGGCUAAGAUCAAGUGUAGUAUCUAUUCUUAUUGGUUUAAUAUCUGAUAUGUCCUCUAUCCACGGACAAUGUAUUAAAUGAAUUUUUGGAAUUAGGAGACGGAAUAGGGGCUUGCUCUGUCCACUCCACGCAUAGACCUGGUAUUGCAGUACUUCCAGGAAUGCUGCACCUGCA